rnacentral:rRNA from 1 species
GAGUGAACGCUGGCGGUAGGCCUACCACAUGCAAGUCGAACGGCAGCCCAGUAAGAGCUUGCUCUUACGGGUGGCGAGUGGCGGACGGGUGAGGAAUACAUCGGAAUCUACUUUUUCGUGGGGGAUAACGUAGGGAAACUUACGCUAAUACCGCAUACGACCUACGGGUGAAAGCAGGGGAUCUUCGGACCUUGCGCGAUUGAAUGAGCCGAUUUCGGAUUAGCUAGUUGGCGGGGUAAAGGCCCACCAAGGCGACGAUCCGUAGCUGGUCUGAGAGGAUGAUCAGCAACACUGGAACUGAGACACGGUCCAGACUCCUACGGGAGGCAGCAGUGGGGAAUAUUGGACAAUGGGCGCAAGCCUGAUCCAGCCAUACCGCGUGGGUGAAGAAGGCCUUCGGGUUGUAAAGCCCUUUUGUUGGGAAAGAAAAGCAGCAGGUUAAUACCCCGCUGUUCUGACGGUACCCAAAGAAUAAGCACCGGCUAACUUCGUG